rnacentral:tRNA from 1 species
GCCUGGCUAGCUCAGUCGGUAGAGCAUGAGACUCUUAAUUUCAGGGUCAUGGGUUCGUGCCUCACACCUCUGGCA